rnacentral:rRNA from 1 species
UACGUAGGGGGCAAGCGUUGUCCGGAUUUAUUGGGCGUAAAGAGCGUGUAGGCGGCCAAGCAGGUCAGCUGUGAAAACUCGAGGCUCAACCUCGAGACGUCGGUUGAAACCGCUUGGCUAGAGUCCGGAAGAGGAGAGUGGAAUUCCCGGUGUAGCGGUGAAAUGCGCAGAUAUCGGGAAGAACACCCGUGGCGAAGGCGGCUCUCUGGGACGGUACUGACGCUGGGACGCGAAAGCGUGGGGAGCGAACAGG